AUGAAUCUAGGAUUUGACCCUUCAGAAUUUAUAUUUGUUAUUGCUAUCCAUGUUUUUCGUUCGAUGUCACACAAAACAUGGGAACACAAAAUGCAAGUUUAUAGGAGAUGGGGUUUUUCUGAAGAUGAGAUCUGGUUGAUUUUCAGAAAGUGUCCCACAUGUAUGGCAAUGUCUGAGAAAAAGGUCAUGGCUACAAUGGAUUUUCUUGUGUGCAA
rnacentral:misc_RNA from 1 species